rnacentral:tRNA from 3 species
GGGCCUAUAGCUCAGUUGGUUAGAGCAGUGGACUCAUAAUCCAUUGGUCGAAGGUUCGAGUCCUUCUGGGCCCACCA